ensembl:lncRNA
CAACCUUCAAGAUCUCCAAUACAUGUUAAGGGCACACAGACUAUACUUUCCUAUUGUGCCUUCUGAGGUCCAGCACCCCUGGUCAAGUCCAAAUCCUCUAUCCCCGAAGACCAGGACCAACCUGUGGGGCGCUCAGCUUACAGAUACUGUGAGAGAGGAGACGAGAGAGAGGGACGACCAGCAUCCUGGACUUGCGCUGACACUGGAAACACCUGGAAGCGGCGUGCAGGAGACAUCCUGGAACUUCCUGAGCAGUGUAAGGCUCCAGAUUGGUGGACAGCACAUCAGGCACAAUGAAAUCAUGUAGAUCAAAGAGGGAUAACUGAAACUCUCCCCGUGUAUGCUUGCCAGUGUUCCCAUUCGCUACAGUCUUUGUGGAAAAUGAACACAGCAGCCACAUCCAGGUGAGCUAGCAUGUGCUCAUUGUGGUUUGUCAGAGCAGUUCGAGA